AGAGUUUGAUCAUGGCUCAGGACGAACGCUGGCGGCGUGCUUAACACAUGCAAGUCGAGCGGAAAGGCCCUUCGGGGUACUCGAGCGGCGAACGGGUGAGUAACACGUGAGCAACCUGCCCUCAGCUCUGGGAUAGCUCCCGGAAACGGGAAUUAAUACCGGAUACGACCCUGACUGACAUCGGUCAGGGUGGAAAGGAUUCCGGCUGAGGAUGGACUCGCGGCCUAUCAGCUAGUUGGUGAGGUAACGGCCCACCAAGGCGACGACGGGUAGCCGGCCUGAGAGGGCGACCGGCCACACUGGGACUGAGACACGGCCCAGACUCCUGCGGGAGGCAGCAGUGGGGAAUAUUGCGCAAUGGGCGAAAGCCUGACGCAGCGACGCCGCGUGGGGGAUGAAGGCCUUCGGGUUGUAAACCCCUUUCGGCAGGGACGAAGCGAGAGUGACGGUACCUGCAGAAGAAGCGCCGGCUAACUACGUGCCAGCAGCCGCGGUAACACGUAGGGCGCAAGCGUUGUCCGGAAUUAUUGGGCGUAAAGAGCUCGUAGGCGGUCUGUUGCGUCUGCUGUGAAAACCCGGGGCUUAACCCCUGGCUUGCAGUGGAUACGGACAGACUAGAGGUAGGUAGGGGAGAAUGGAAUUCCCGGUGUAGCGGUGAAAUGCGCAGAUAUCGGGAGGAACACCGGUGGCGAAGGCGGUUCUCUGGGCCUUACCUGACGCUGAGGAGCGAAAGCGUGGGGAGCGAACAGGAUUAGAUACCCUAGUAGUCC
rnacentral:rRNA from 1 species